rnacentral:rRNA from 1 species
UGGGGAAUCUUGCACAAUGGGCGAAAGCCUGAUGCAGCAAUGCCGCGUGAGUGAUGAAGGCCUUCGGGUUGUAAAUCUCUGUCGGUUGGGACAAACGAGCUGGUGGUUAAUAACUACUAGCUGUGAUGGUACCAGCAAAGGAAGAGGCGGCUAACUCUGUGCCAGCAGCCGCGGUAAUACAGAGGCCUCGAGCGUUGUUCGGAAUUACUGGGCGUAAAGGGAAUGUAGGCGGUAACGUAAGUCAGAUGUGAAACCCCUGGGCUUAACCCGGGAACUGCAUUUGAUACUGUGUUGCUGGAGUGCGAGAGAGGAAAGCGGAAUUCCUGGUGUAGGGGUGAAAUCCGUAGAUAUCAGGAGGAAUACCGAUGGCGAAGGCAGCUUUCUGGCUCGUAACUGACGCUGAGAUUCGAAAGCAUGGGUAGCAAACAGG